rnacentral:rRNA from 1 species
UGGGAACGUGCCCAAAGGUACGGAACAACUCCGGGAAACUGGAGCUAAUACCGUAUGUGCCCGAAAGGGGAGAGAUUCAUCGCCUUUGGAUCGGCCCGCGUCUGAUUAGCUAGUUGGCGGGGUAAUGGCCCACCAAGGCGACGAUCAGUAGCUGGUCUGAGAGGAUGACCAGCCACACUGGGACUGAGACACGGCCCAGACUCCUACGGGAGGCAG